UGCCUAACCCCACAGGUUUUUUCUUGUGGGUAUGGCAAAAAACCGUUCGACAUAUUAACCCCGUCAUAGGGCGUGUCGAACGUUGCAGGUCGAAAGGCCUGUAUGCGCCGCAAGGCGCA
rnacentral:sRNA from 1 species